rnacentral:rRNA from 1 species
CAGCUCAAAUUUGAAAUCUGGCCCUCGGGUCCGAAUUGUAAUUUGUAGAGGAUGCUUUUGGCGCGGUGCCUUCCGAGUUCCCUGGAACGGGACGCCUUAGAGGGUGAGAGCCCCGUACGGUCGGACGCCUAGCCUCUGUAAAGCUCCUUCGACGAGUCGAGUAGUUUGGGAAUGCUGCUCUAAAUGGGAGGUAAAUUUCUUCUAAAGCUAAAUACCGGCCAGAGACCGAUAGCGCACAAGUAGAGUGAUCGAAAGAUGAAAAGCACUUUGAAAAGAGGGUUAAAUAGCACGUGAAAUUGUUGAAAGGGAAGCGUUUGCGACCAGACUUUUUCCGGGAGGAUCAUCAGGUGUUCUCACCUGUGCACUUCUCCCGGUCAAGGCCAGCAUCGGUUUCCGGAGGGGGAUAAAAGCUUAGGGCACGUAGCUCCCUCGGGAGUGUUAUAGCCCUUUGCACAAUACCCCUCUGGGGACCGAGGAACGCGCUCUGCAAGGAUGCUGGCGUAAUGGUCGUCAACGACCCGUCUUGAAACACGGACCAAGGAGUCGAACAUUUGUGCGAGUGUUAGGGUGUCAAACCCCUGCGCGUAAUGAAAGUGAACGGAGGUGAGAGCCCUUACGGGUGCAUCAUCGACCGAUCCUGAUGUUUUCGGAUGGAUUUGAGUAAGAGCAUAAAUGUUCGGACCCGAAAGAUGGUGAACUAUGCGUGGAUAGGGUGAAGCCAGAGGAAACUCUGGUGGAGGCUCGCAGCGGUUCUGACGUGCAAAUCGAUCGUC